rnacentral:rRNA from 1 species
AACGAACGCUGGCGGCGUGCCUAACACAUGCAAGUCGAACGAAUGUUAGGCUGUAGCAAUACAGUCUAAUUUUAGUGGCGCACGGGUGAGUAACACGUGAAUGAUCUGCCUCCGAGACUGGGAUAACCUGCCGAAAGGCGGGCUAAUACCGGAUGAGACCACGACUUUAAUAGGCUGGGGUCAUAGAUGGCCUCUAUUUAUAAGCUAUCACGUGGAGAUGAGUUCGCGUCCCAUCAGCUAGUUGGCGGGGUAAUGGCCCACCAAGGCUAUGACGGGUAGCUGGUCUGAGAGGACGACCAGACACACUGGAACUGAGACACGGUCCAGACUCCUACGGGAGGCAGCAGUGGGGAAUAUUGCGCAAUGGACGAAAGUCUGACGCAGCAACGCCGCGUGGGUGAUGAAGGCCUUCGGGUCGUAAAGCCCUGUCAACAGGGAAGAAACUCCGGGAAGCGAAUAGGUUUCCGGAUUGACGGUACCUGUGGAGGAAGCACCGGCUAACUCCGUGCCAGCAGCCGCGGUAA